rnacentral:rRNA from 1 species
GGCUCAGGAUGAACGCUGGCGGCGUGCUUAACACAUGCAAGUCGAACGGACCGCAAGGUCAGUGGCGGACGGGUGCGUAACACGUAGGUGACCUGCCCUGGAGUGGGGAAUAAUUCCGCGAAAGCGGGACUAAUACCGCAUCUGCUCAUGGAUUCAGUUCUCUGAGUAAAGUCGCAAGACGCUUCAGGAUGGGCCUGCGGCGGAUUAGCUAGUUGGUGGGGUAAAGGCCUACCAAGGCGAUGAUCCGUAGGGGGCGUGAGAGCGUGACCCCCCACAUUGGCACUGAGACACGGGCCAAACUCCUACGGGAGGCAGCAGUGAGGAAUAUUGCGCAAUGGGCGAAAGCCUGACGCAGCAACGCCGCGUGAGGGACGAAGGCCUUCGGGUCGUAAACCUCUUUUCUGAGGGACGAGACAAGGACGGUACCUCAGGAAUCAGUCUCGGCUAACUACGUGCCAGCAGCCGCGGUAAAACGUAGGAGGCGAGCGUUAUCCGGAUUUACUGGGCGUAAAGCGCACGCAGGUGGCACGGCAAGUUGGUUGUGAAAGCUCCUGGCUUAACUGGGAGAGGCCAAGCAAAACUGCCGCGCUUGAGGUUGGAAGAGGGGUGCGGAAUUCCCGGUGUAGCGGUGGAAUGCGUAGAUAUCGGGAGGAACACCAGUGGCGAAGGCGGCACCCUGGUCCACACCUGACGCUGAGGUGCGAAAGCGUGGGGAGUAAACAGGAUUAGAUACCCUGGUAAUCCACGCCGUAAACGAUGUCAACUGGGUGUCGGUAGUGUUACACUAUCGGUGCCGAAGCCAACGCGUUAAGUUGACCGCCUGGGGACUACGGCCGCAAGGCUAAAAC